UCAAAAGAAAAAUUCGAUACCAAUUUCUGAAGAAGCAGAAAGUGAGUUACUUUCAACAUUGUCUAGACAGAUUUUAACUCUUUUGUGCAAGCAACAAUCCUUCUUUGAGAGCAACAACCUUUUGCAUCUAACCCAAAAGGAAAUAUGGCAUUGACUUUGUACCAGUUGCAAUCAACGUCCCUCAAUAAUCCCGAUUGAUUGUCUUGAUACCAAUGAAUGAAUAGAUGAAUCCAUCUUAAAUUUCAAUUCAUUCGAGGGAUCCCAUUUAUCCACUUGCAAUCCCUUAUCUA
rnacentral:lncRNA from 1 species